UGGCUCUGGUCACAAGGAAACAGCAGCAGGCAACACCUGAGGAGACUUCACAGGUGAGGAAGACAGCAGGUGAAUAGUAAGAUACAAAAACUGGAGCAAAAAUGGGUGUUAUUAAAGUGAAUCAAAGUAACAACUGGAUUGGCAAGUACACAGAGGUACUGCUCUUCAUCAGAUCCAUCAGAUGCAUCAUCCCCAACCUGGCAAGAU
rnacentral:lncRNA from 1 species